rnacentral:lncRNA from 1 species
UUUUAUUCGUGGUACUACAGUUUUUACCUGAUGGGAGCAAAUUCUACAGUUUUGGUCUCGCAGCUAUAUGCUGGGCCAUUUGGAACUGUCGCAAUGAAGCAAUCUUUGAGUUUAAAUUUCCUAAAAUCCCUUUUGAGGUGGUGUUCUCUUCAUGUGUAUUUCUGGAUUAUGGGGCAGGUUUGCUGAAGAGUGAUGACCAGGAGGCAAUGUGGCGUGGGACAAUGAUGCUCAGGGAGAAUGCGAAGAACAUGAUGUGUAUCUGUGCUGCUGCUCAAGAUGAUGGUGCGAUGGACUGAAGCUUGCACUGAUGUAUUUCCGUUAUUCAUUAAUGAAAAGGGGUGAUGUGCGGUUCAAAAAAAAAGUAUUAACAUUGCUGAUGUAAGGAUGGUCGGCACAGCUGCGGGUGAAACGUGACUAAUAUAUAUCCUGUGUGUUUGAGCUGAGAACUCACCUUGCUCCGUUAUUGGUAUUUGGUAGAGGUGACAGUUGUAUUUGUGGGGCUUGGCAGAUAGGAUUAAAAUUACAUGUGUGUAACUGUAGGCACAGGAAUUGCGAUUGCUUGGAAAAUAGUGGUCGAUUUUGAUUAACAGACUUGCGGGACAUGAAACGGCGUAGUUAGUAACCUGGGGGAAAUUAGGAACCCUAGAUAUGAAAUGUCGAUCCUGGAAGUGAUUCAAGGGACAUUGCUUCAGAGUUCAGAUUGUCUGUCGAGGUGAAUGGCCCGACGUCACCAUUGGCACUGAUGAGUGUGUGACUGUAGUUUCACAACUGGAGGCUCUCCUGCCAGUGGCGUGCGGAUCAUGCUGCGGUCAUUAGAAAGAAGCCCAGCCCUGUUGUCCUGACGCAUGUUCCAUGGGUGUAUAUAAAUAAAACUAAUGGUAUCACCAAGCAAUGCAGCCAAAGCAAUAUAGAAGCAGAUGUUCAAUGUAUAAUUUUGUUGAAUUGAGUUCCGCUUAAAGGAGGGUGUACUGAAGCAUAAGUGAUAGUAAUUUUUACUCGAAUCUCUGAA